UCAUCUACAUUGAACGAGUGCAGCGGGAGAAGGCUAAUGGCACAACUGACCAUGUGGGCAUUCACCCCAGCAAGGUGGUUAUCACCAGACUAAUACUGGAUAAAGACCGCAAAAAGAUCCUCGAACGUAAAGCCAAAUCUCGCCAAGUAGGAAAGGAAAAGGGCAAAUCGGCAGAGCGUC